UAGACCUGGCAAAUAAAACAAAUACACUUACUUCUUGCCAGAGACAACAUACAGGACGCAGCAUGCUGGACCUACAGAAGAUCCUACCCCUUCCCUUUAGUGACUGGUGUAGACUUCUACAGGCUUCAUGAAUUCUGAGUUCCUGAGGCUAUCUUCUGCUUGCACAUUCAGAGCCUUAAUCUCUAAUACGGACAACCAGUCUCAGACUGUGAGAGCGCGUACUGAGCACACAGCUUCUGAGGAAAUAUAAUCCAGAUGAGCAAUUCACACAGUGUUCAUUUUCUAUCCCUGUUUCAAUUAUAAUAGCAUCCCUUUCUGCUUUUGGCUGAUGCACGUUCCCAGGUUACUGAAUCCUGAAUACAUUUGUUGUUGACACACAACUCUUUGCUGCACAAAUGUGUCAUCCUAAACAGCUUGUAGUGUGAUAAAAACCUUAAGCUGAAGAAAAACUGUGUCACUACAGCAUCUUGAAUUCUAUGUUAUUCUCAUUACAAAACCACUCUUUUAAGUGCAACAAGGCCCUCGCACUGAUGAUUAUCCAUGAAUCAUCUAAACAACUUAUCUUGGUUUCAGAGACUUAUUUACUUCAGUAAUACAGGCGGUUUUGACUGGGUACAUUUUCUCUUGAAAUGCAAAGGCUCUGGAAAUAGUGCCAGCAGAUACCCGAUCACACUGGUAGGCCAGCAAUCUGCAAGCAUUUUGCAUAACAGUGACAGUUCCGUUUGAAAUUCAUUUCUUCUUGCUCUAUAAAUAGCCUUCACAGUCUCCCAAAAAGGAAGAAACGGGUGCACUGCCAACCAUUCUGCUUCUUUAAAGAUACCAAGAAGGCAGUUGGAGGUGUUUGCAGCCCCACCUCUCCUACCAGAACUCUGCUAAUGUCUAAAAGCAGCAGCCGCCAGCUCAGCAGCUCUCACACUGAAUGGGACAACCUACAGCUCUUCUGUAUCAAACAAAAGCAAUCAUGUAAAGCAAGAAUAUCUUCUGAGGAUGAGGACCAGGUACUGCAGCUGUGGAUUUUUGCUUUUAAGCACACAGGCACGAGGUGGGGAGAAACGACUCCCCUGCUUCAGGACAUCAGGACAGAACUGCUUCCCACACUGCCUGAACUCCAGGCCCUGCUUGCAGUACCUCGCUGCCAAGGCUUCCAUUCUUCCUUCCUGGAUCUUCCUCCUGGAUAAACAAGCCACCUGUCCGCACAUUUUGUUCCAUCUGAUAGAGACAUACAGGAGGAAACACCAUUCACCUUAUCUUCAAAUUAUCUCUCGUUUGCUUUCACUCUGAUUCUUAUGUUGCUGCAGUCCUUAGUUUGGGGGUUCCAAAGCAGGCUCUGUUUUGCUACAAAACCUAUUUCAGCAUCCACCCAACCCUACAACAUCCCCACAGCCUCAGCUCUGACUGGCACAGAGCACCUCCCUGGAUGCCCAGCUCAGCCCGCCAUCCCUCACACACACAGUGCCCGUUCCAAGGAGUCUGCUGUGGUUUUCAUACUGCUAAUUCCACGCAGGCAGAUAAUUCAUUUCUCAUUUUUGCUAAAUCGAACCAGAUUUGAACAAACCAUUUAGAGGAUUUUUUCCUAGCAUAGCAACAC